GGUAGCUGUGUACGCCACUGAUUUCUCUAGUUACAAGAACUUUGUGAUUUUUAGCGAAUUUUUGGAGGCCACUCUAGGAUUUUUACAUAUGAAUUCUAGAUAAAUGAAAUCCUAAUACUGCAUCAAAGUCAUGGUUCUCGGAGAAACGUGGACGUGAUGACGUGGUGUUUGCUUAUUUUCACUGGAACGUAUCUAAUUGAUGCUAUAGUUGACGAUGCUGUUAGCAUCGAAGUGUAGAUGCUAAAUGAUGGAAACGGUCUGAUUCUUCGGCGACGCUUAGUACCUGUAUUGCACGGUGCACAAUUCUCAAACUAUACCGCAGUCAGUUUAAUAACCACAGAGUUUACCUUCAAAAUUCCAAAGAUUCAUGUAAUUGUGUUUACACUUUAGAGAGAAGUCUGGUUGUUGUCAUGUGUGAAGUUGUUAUUGGUUUUUCAUAUUGAAGCUUCUAAUGAUGCAUAUUUUUUGUUUCACGUUUUUGACAGAUGUAAUAUCAGCAUCUGCCUCGGACUCGUCAUGCAGUCAAUUUGAACAGAAUUCUUUCUGUGAUUUGACGUGAGGUUUCAAAUAAUGCAGGACAUUCCAAUAUUUGUUUGUAGGCCACCAUAUAAACAAAUAUGAACUCGAUAAGUAUUGAUAUUGAUGGAACGGUGUCCGAUUUUAGGACAUCUAAAUCUGACAGUUCCUUCUUGAAAAUAAAUUCCGUGAACAGUGCUGGCUAUCUAUAUAAUUGCUGCUUGCUACUGAUCACUGUAAUUGUUUUAAGCAUAAUUCUAUUUGAAUUCAAAGAAUAUGUUAGAGCAUUGCUAAUGUGGGUUGAGUCACAAGAUCAAGUUGUUAUAUACUUAAUUUUUACUGUGCUGUUCGUUCUAGUUUCCUUCCCAUUCACUUGGGGGUACACGGUUCUUGUUUUCGCUACAGGUUACGUUUUCGGAAUAAUUAGAGGCCUAGUAACAGUUUUAUUCGCAGCAAACAUUGGUGUAGUUGUCGCACAUUUUGCAGUUAGACUUGUACACUAUAAAUUUCCAUUAACAAAGCUUAUCCAGAAUGACAAAAUUCAAGCUGUGCUCUCUGUGAUAUCGGGAUCUAAAGCAUUUAGAGUUGCAGCCUUUUCUCGCUUGACCCCAGUGCCUUUCGGAGUACAGAAUUUAAUAUUUGCAGUCAGCAAUAUUAAUACGAGAAUAUAUUUCAUAGCAUCUUUUAUUGGUAUGAUACCAGCCCAAGUCAUAAAUGUGUAUCUGGGAAGCUCAUUGAGAUCAAUGGAGGAAGUUUUGUCCCACAAAUCAACAGCCACCACAGCUAUCAUUGUGUUUUUUCAAGUUGGUGGCUGUUGCUGAAUUGUGAUAUUUUGUGUCUUUUAGUGCUGCCAUGUGUUCUUUGAAUCUAAUCACAAAUGACCUACCAGUCUGGCCUAUGUAGAAGCAGUCACAAUGCAAACACUCAAUUUUGUACACACCUGUACGAUGAAGUGGAUUUUGUGUGUUGAUGUGAGAUCACGGUUGGUGUGUGCCUCAUGGCUUAUGUAUUGACAAAAGCUCGUCAAGAGUUAAGGAAAGCACUAUAUAGUACAUCGUAUAGUCAGGUGGCAUGAUUCUUGUUAGGUACCAUUGACACACAUGGUACAUUACACCAUAGCACUGAAAUCAAAUUUUUGAAAGAAAUAAUCAGUAUUGUUUUAUAUUUAUUGAUUUAGAACUGCUUUUUGCUUAGUUUUAAUACAGAACGAAUCAGUCAGUUCAAUCUUUCUGUUGUAUAAUUUUCUAUUUCUUUUUUAUUUAUUUUGCCAUUAAAUGUCACACUUUGGUUAUUUAUAUGUAAGCUAUGGGGAUAUUGAAAAAGUAUAGUUUUACACGAAUUGCAUGUAUAUAUAUUCACAACUUCUGUGUUUUCACAGAAACUUGUUAUAAACUGAAUGCUGUUAAAUCUGUACCUACUCAUUGCACUACAUGACGAUUGGUCAGACACUGAUGACAUUUUUAUUUUCAGUUAAUGUUUCAGGCAGCUUGCUGAUUGAAAUAUUUUAAGGGCUGUGAUUGUGCCAAAGAUAGGUCAGGUAUUAAUUAUGUCCGGGAAAACAUUUUUUAUGUAUGUUUACUUACACAAAUACAAGUAUUUACAAGAAGACAUCUUAUAAAUCCUGUUAUGUUGUCUUUUGUUAUUGCAGCAUAAUUUUAUGGAUGUAUUAGAAUGUGAUAAAAUCAAAUUGAUAAACACGUGUUACAUAAAAAUGUUUGUUAUAACUAUAAAGGGAAAUAAAUUUGUAGACUCAUAGGAUGAGGUCAAAAUGAUUGUGCCAUUUUUGUUUGUAGUUCAGUUUUUAGUGCUUUGUUUUUUCUACAUAUUUUGUCAAAACUUUGUCGAGUACAGAAAUUGUAUAAUCUACAUCUUCUUUGGUGAUGCACAUCGGUGGUUUAAUGCGGAAUACCUGCGAACAAUAAGAUAUGAUUAGAACACUAUUUGUGAAAGCAUUUAAUUACUUUGUGCCUUCAAUAAAUGAACAUAUUUAUUGUUAA